rnacentral:miRNA from 1 species
UUAUAUUUGAUUCACGUAGAGA